AUGCAACUUAAAGACAAGGAACCCAUUCCAGCAAUCGCAUACACCAGCGGCAAUGCAAGUGAUGCAGAAGGCAGCGCUAUCGGUGAUUUUGUAGGGCUGAAAGCACGAGAGCGAAAAAGGAAAGCUGGGAGACCUACCAACAGCAGAGAUAAACCUCCAUACGAUGAUCGGGGUGCAAAAAGCAAGAGGUUAAAACAAUGCAGACCUACUGAAGAUGGUGACAAGUGCGGCACGAGCAAGCGCACUCGUUUCUGCAUCAUAUGCCGCGAACCUGGACACAAGAGCACAACUUGUCCGCAAAGAGGUGAUCUUCCUCAGAAGGAAAGGAAGGAGGCAAAAUGCUCAAAUUGUGGAGUCGGUGGCCAUAGGAGAAACACCUGCAACAAGCCAAGAGUUGUUCUCCAUAUUGCUGCCAACACUGAUAUAGACGCAAAUAGAAUUAGUACUUUGGUUUGA
rnacentral:rRNA from 1 species